rnacentral:rRNA from 1 species
CCUACGGGUGGCAGCAGUAGGGAAUAUUGCUCAAUGGGGGAAACCCUGAAGCAGCAACGCCGCGUGGGGGAAGAAGGACUUCGGAUUGUAAACUCCUUUUGGCAGAGAAGAAAAUGACGGUACCUGACCAAGAAGCACCGGCUAACGACGUGCCAGCAGCCGCGGUAAUCCGGAGGGGGCAAGCGUUACUCGGAUUUACUGGGGGUAAAGAGGGCGUAGGCGGGAUAGCAAGUCCGGUGUGAAAUCCCAUGGCUUAACCAUAGAACUGCAUUUGAAACUGUUGUUCUGGAGUGGGGGAGAGGUAGGCGGAAUUCUUGGUGUAGCGGUGAAAUGCGUAGAGAUCAAGAGGAACACCGAUGGCGAAGGCGGCCUGCUAGACCAUAACUGACGCUGAGGCUCGAAAGCGUGGGGAGCAAACAGGAUUAGAUACCCUGGUAGUC